GAGAGUUAAAUUAAUUCUAACCUAGCUCAAGGUUUCAUCUUGUUGAAAUAUAAUUGAAACAAAGUAUGCAGUGUGGCAAUCUAGCUGGGUUCUGUAACUAGGGCAUUUCUAGCACUUGAGAGUUCCUCUAAAUAAAACAUACAAUAUAAAGCAGCACAGCCAGCUUUCAAGAUUUAAAUGUUGGAAGAAAUGUGAGACAGAAUCUACCAUGAAUUGAAAGAGCUGAUGUGGUUCACAUCUUCAAAAAAGGAAAGAAAACAACAACAACAAAAAACUACAGACCAAUCAGCCUAGCAUCAAUACUUGAGAAGAUACUGGAAAAAAUAAUUAAAAAACAGAUCUGUGAACGUCUAGAAACAAAUAAAAGUUAUAACU